ACCUUACUGCUCUGUUGCACCAUCAGCCAAUCACGUAGCAGCUCCACUUUGUUCUGUGAAGCUCAGUGCUGCUGAAGCGCGAGACGGUUUAUUGCUGCCAAGACGCUGUUAACACCAAACUUUAUAUUAGCUUUCUAAUCUUAAAAUACAAUAAACUCCAAUAAAACGGGAGCAAAAUCAAAUAAUUAGCGCGUAAAUAUGAUUUCAGUGUUUUGGUGAUAUUGUGUAAAUAGAACAGAAUUUGUGCGUGUCCGCCAUUUUGUCUCUCACACUGACCUGAUUUAACAACGUAGCAGCUUAGCAUGAUUAGCAUUUUAAUAUUAUUUCAUUAUUAUCAUUUUUAGAUAUAAAAACUGGGCAGGAACAACUGUACACCUGCUCAUUUAUGCAGUUAUCCAGUCAGCCAAUCAUGUGGCAGCACCGGAACCAUCAAAUCAUGCAGAUACAGGUCAAGGGCUUCAGGUUACACUCGAUUCUCAAGAGUUUCCCUUGGUACUGAAGUGCAUGUCAUGUUCCUUCUCUGCUGGGAAAGCACCGCACAAUGACAUAGUGGCAUUUCUGUUCCAAACUUCUCACUACAGUACCGUGGGCUUCAGGACGGUGCCAUUGCCUCUGUCAUGCACCAGCUCACUGCAGACCUGGGACACAGGGAAUUGCACCAGAGGCUAUAAAGGACAUGGCGGUGUGUAACCCAGUGGCAAAGACAAAGAAUGGUGUCAGGACUGGUGUGAAGAGCACACUGUACAGAGCAUGUGGUGGUGAGUCUGAAUGAGCCCCCACCUGUGCAAACAUUUUAAUUCAUUUCUAACAGAACAGUGAUUAGUAUUUAGUACUUUUUAUAGAGGCUUUCAGUUGAUAUUAUUAUUUUUGGAGAUAUUAUUAUGAUGAAUUGUUAAUAUCAGGGUUUGGGGCAGCUUAACAUUCACUUUUAAUAUAUAACGCCAUUUCCAAAAAGAUUGGGACGCUUUGUAAAAUGCGAAUAAAAAGAGAAUGCAAAGAUUUACAAAUCACAUAAACCCACAUUUUAUUCGCAACAGAGCAUAGACAUCAUAUGAAAUGUUUAAAGUGAGACAUUUUACUAUUUUAUGAAAAAUAUUAGCUCAUCCACCCCAAUGCCAGGCUUGUAUGCAAACUGGAGUGGGUCCAUUGAUGGGCUCCCCAGAUCACGGAGAUGCACAAGGACCAGCCUCUCCAGAGUCUUCAUCAGGUGGGAUGUCAGAGCCGCUGGCCUGUAGGGCUCAGGGCCCUCUCUCACCUGGACAAGCCUGGGAGCACUGUCAGAAUCAUGUUUUUUGAUUUUUCCAGUGCUUUCAACGCUAUACAGCCUGUACUUCUAAAAGACAAGCUGGAACACACAGGGGUGGACCAGCACCUUGCAUCCUGGAUCCUGGACUACUUUA